rnacentral:sRNA from 1 species
AUUUCUCAAUGGUUACUUGAAAGUGUGUAAAACAACAAGAUGCAUUCUUUGAGAGCCUACGGGGUGCGUUAGAAGCUGAGGACCGACCAAAAUUAACUAUGUGUAGACUUUGAACAGUUUGCAGUUUGUUGAGGAUCACAGGGAAAGGAGCUGGGGAGAAACAUACACUAUGCUAAUUAUGGCUGUCAAAGGACGUGUACGCAGUUUAUAUGAGUUGCUUGAAUGGGUAGGGAGUCUAAAGUUAAGGAGUGGUGUUAAGACAUAUUGAAAAGAUGAACUUAAGCAUGCUGUCAGAGGACAAUAAGGGAAAGCUAAUGUGGAAUACUGGUGUCUAGGAAGGUUAUAGAGAUGGAAUAGAUGCUGGCAAAGCAGUUACUCUUCAACAGGGCUUCAAUCAAGGUUAUAAGGAA